AAUGAACGUUGGCGGCAUGGAUUAGGCAUGCAAGUCGGGGGAAUCCCAGCAAUGGGGGAACCGGCGUAAGGGGCAGUAAGGCAUGGGUACCUACCUUGGGGUUCGGGAUAGCCAUCAGAGAUGGUGGGUAAUACCGGAUGACGUCGUGAGACCAAAGAUUUAUCGCCCUUAGAGGGGCGCCAUGUGAUAUUAGCUAGUUGGUGGGGUAACGGCCCACCAAGGCGAAGAUGUCUAGCGGGUGUGAGAGCACGACCCGCGCCACUCGCACUGAGACGCUGGCGAGACACCUACGGGUGGCUGCAGUCGAGGAUCUUCGGCAAUGGGCGCAAGCUUGACCGAGCGAUGCCGCGUGAGCGAUGAAGGCCUUCGGGUUGUAAAGCUCUUUAGUGGGGGAGAAAAGCCGCAAGGUGUGAUCUAUCCCAAAAAUAAGCACGGGCUAAGUUCGUGCCAGCCGCCGCCGUAA
rnacentral:rRNA from 1 species